rnacentral:rRNA from 1 species
GACGAACGCUGGCGGCGUGCUUAACACAUGCAAGUCGAACGGUAAGGCCCUUCGGGGUACACGAGUGGCGAACGGGUGAGUAACACGUGGUGAUCUGCCCUGCACUUCGGGAUAAGCCUGGGAAACUGGGUCUAAUACCGGAUAGGACCAUGGACUUCACGGUUUGUGGUGGAAAGCUUUUGCGGUGUGGGAUGGGCCCGCGGCCUAUCAGCUUGUUGGUGGGGUAAUGGCCUACCAAGGCGACGACGGGUAGCCGGCCUGAGAGGGUGUCCGGGCCACACUGGGACUGAGAUACGGCCCAGACUCCUACGGGAGGCAGCAGUGGGGAAUAUUGCACAAUGGGCGCAAGCCUGAUGCAGCGACGCCGCGUGAGGGAUGACGGCCUUCGGGUUGUAAACUCUUUCAAUAGGGACGAAGCGCAAGUGACGGUACCUAUAGAAGAAGCACGGCCAACUACGUGCCAGCAGCCG